GGUCUCGAGCUCCAGCAUCAAGCCCCGGCUUGCUGGACGGCAACCCUCCACCUGCGGUGGGGUGCCCCGGGUGACGACCAGGUCCUGGCUACCUGUCAGGGCAAGCGCUCGUC
rnacentral:ncRNA from 2 species